AGAGUUUGAUUCUGGCUCAGGAUGAACGCUAGCGGCGUGCCUAACACAUGCAAGUCGAACGGGGUACCCGAAACGGAGACUUCGGUUGAAGUUUUGGACUACUUAGUGGCGGACGGGUGAGUAACGCGUGAGCAAUCUGCCUCACAGAGGGGGAUAACACAGAGAAAUUUGUGCUAAUACCGCAUAACAUACAGAGAAGACAUCUUUUUUGUAUCAAAGAUUUAUCGCUGUGAGAUGAGCUCGCGUCUGAUUAGCUAGUUGGUGGGGUAACGGCCUACCAAGGCGACGAUCAGUAGCCGGGCUGAGAGGUUGAACGGCCACAUUGGGACUGAGACACGGCCCAGACUCCUACGGGAGGCAGCAGUGGGGAAUAUUGCGCAAUGGGGGGAACCCUGACGCAGCAACGCCGCGUGAAGGAAGAAGGCCUUCGGGUUGUAAACUUUUGUCUUUAGGGAAGAUAGUGACGGUACCUAAGGAGGAAGCCACGGCUAACUACGUGCCAGCAGCCGCGGUAAUACGUAGGUGGCAAGCGUUAUCCGGAUUUACUGGGUGUAAAGGGAGCGUAGGCGGGACUUUAAGUCAGAUGUGAAAUACCGGGGCUCAACCCCGGGGCUGCAUUUGAAACUGGAGUUCUUGAGUGUCGGAGAGGUAAGUGGAAUUCCUAGUGUAGCGGUGAAAUGCGUAGAUAUUAGGAGGAACACCAGUGGCGAAGGCGACUUACUGGACGAUAACUGACGCUGAGGCUCGAAAGUGUGGGGAGCAAACAGGAUUAGAUACCCUGGUAGUCCACACCGUAAACGAUGGAUAC
rnacentral:rRNA from 1 species